rnacentral:rRNA from 1 species
AUAGAGUCAAGUGAAUAAGUGCAUCAGGCGGAUGCCUUGGCGAUGAUAGGCGACGAAGGACGUGUAAGCCUGCGAAAAGCGCGGGGGAGCUGGCAAUAAAGCUAUGAUUCCGCGAUGUCCGAAUGGGGAAACCCACUGCAUUCUGUGCAGUAUCCUAAGUUGAAUACAUAGGCUUAGAGAAGCGAACCCGGAGAACUGAACCAUCUAAGUACCCGGAGGAAAAGAAAUCAACCGAGAUUCCGCAAGUAGUGGCGAGCGAACGCGGAGGAGCCUGUACGUAAUAACUGUCGAGAUAGAAGAACAAGCUGGGAAGCUUGACCAUAGCGGGUGACAGUCCCGUAUUCGAAAUCUCAACAGCGGUACUAAGCGUACGAAAAGUAGGGCGGGACACGUGAAAUCCUGUCUGAAUAUGGGGGGACCAUCCUCCAAGGCUAAAUACUCAUCAUCGACCGAUAGUGAACCAGUACCGUGAGGGAAAGGCGAAAAGAACCCCGGGAGGGGAGUGAAACAGAACCUGAAACCUGAUGCAUACAAACAGUGGGAGCGCCCUAGUGGUGUGACUGCGUACCUUUUGUAUAAUGGGUCAACGACUUACAUUCAGUAGCGAGCUUAACCGGAUAGGGGAGGCGUAGGGAAACCGAGUCUUAAUAGGGCGAUGAGUUGCUGGGUGUAGACCCGAAACCGAGUGAUCUAUCCAUGGUCAGGUUGAAGGUGCCGUAACAGGUACUGGAGGACCGAACCCACGCAUGUUGCAAAAUGCGGGGAUGAGCUGUGGGUAGGGGUGAAAGGCUAAACAAACUCGGAGAUAGCUGGUUCUCCCCGAAAACUAUUUAGGUAGUGCCUCGAGCAAGACACUGAUGGGGGUAAAGCACUGUUAUGGCUAGGGGGUUAUUGCAACUUACCAACCCAUGGCAAACUCAGAAUACCAUCAAGUGGUUCCUCGGGAGACAGACAGCGGGUGCUAACGUCCGUUGUCAAGAGGGAAACAACCCAGACCGCCGGCUAAGGUCCCAAAUGAUAGAUUAAGUGGUAAACGAAGUGGGAAGGCACAGACAGCCAGGAUGUUGGCUUAGAAGCAGCCAUCAUUUAAAGAAAGCGUAAUAGCUCACUGGUCGAGUCGUCCUGCGCGGAAGAUGUAACGGGGCUCAAAUCUAUAACCGAAGCUGCGGAUGCCGGUUUACCGGCAUGGUAGGGGAGCGUUCUGUAGGCUGAUGAAGGUGCAUUGUAAAGUGUGCUGGAGGUAUCAGAAGUGCGAAUGUUGACAUGAGUAGCGAUAAAGCGGGUGAAAAGCCCGCUCGCCGAAAGCCCAAGGUUUCCUACGCAACGUUCAUCGGCGUAGGGUAAGUCGGCACCUAAGGCGAGGCAGAAAUGCGUAGUCGAUGGGAAACAGGUUAAUAUUCCUGUACUUGAUUCAAAUGCGAUGUGGGGACGGAGAAGGUUAGGUUGGCAAGCUGUUGGAAUAGCUUGUUUAAGCCGGUAGGUGGAAGACUUAGGCAAAUCCGGGUUUUCUUAACACCGAGAAGUGAUGACGAGUGUCUACGGACACGAAGCAACCGAUACCACGCUUCCAGGAAAAGCCACUAAGCUUCAGUUUGAAUCGAACCGUACCGCAAACCGACACAGGUGGGCAGGAUGAGAAUUCUAAGGCGCUUGAGAGAACUCGGGAGAAGGAACUCGGCAAAUUGAUACCGUAACUUCGGGAGAAGGUAUGCCCUCUAAGGUUAAGGACUUGCUCCGUAAGCCCCGGAGGGUCGCAGAGAAUAGGUGGCUGCGACUGUUUAUUAAAAACACAGCACUCUGCCAACACGAAAGUGGACGUAUAGGGUGUGACGCCUGCCCGGUGCCGGAAGGUUAAUUGAAGAUGUGCAAGCAUCGGAUCGAAGCCCCGGUAAACGGCGGCCGUAACUAUAACGGUCCUAAGGUAGCGAAAUUCCUUGUCGGGUAAGUUCCGACCCGCACGAAUGGCGUAACGAUGGCCACACUGUCUCCUCCCGAGACUCAGCGAAGUUGAAGUGGUUGUGAAGAUGCAAUCUACCCGCUGCUAGACGGAAAGACCCCGUGAACCUUUACUGUAGCUUUGCAUUGGACUUUGAAGUCACUUGUGUAGGAUAGGUGGGAGGCUUGGAAGCAGAGACGCCAGUCUCUGUGGAGUCGUCCUUGAAAUACCACCCUGGUGUCUUUGAGGUUCUAACCCAGACCCGUCAUCCGGGUCGGGGACCGUGCAUGGUAGGCAGUUUGACUGGGGCGGUCUCCUCCCAAAGCGUAACGGAGGAGUUCGAAGGUUACCUAGGUCCGGUCGGAAAUCGGACUGAUAGUGCAAUGGCAAAAGGUAGCUUAACUGCGAGACCGACAAGUCGGGCAGGUGCGAAAGCAGGACAUAGUGAUCCGGUGGUUCUGUAUGGAAGGACCAUCGCUCAACGGAUAAAAGGUACUCCGGGGAUAACAGGCUGAUUCCGCCCAAGAGUUCAUAUCGACGGCGGAGUUUGGCACCUCGAUGUCGGCUCAUCACAUCCUGGGGCUGUAGUCGGUCCCAAGGGUAUGGCUGUUCGCCAUUUAAAGUGGUACGUGAGCUGGGUUUAAAACGUCGUGAGACAGUUUGGUCCCUAUCUGCAGUGGGCGUUGGAAGUUUGACGGGGGCUGCUCCUAGUACGAGAGGACCGGAGUGGACGAACCUCUGGUGUACCGGUUGUAACGCCAGUUGCAUAGCCGGGUAGCUAAGUUCGGAAGAGAUAAGCGCUGAAAGCAUCUAAGCGCGAAACUCGCCUGAAGAUGAGACUUCCCUUGCGGUUUAACCGCACUAAAGGGUCGUUCGAGACCAGGACGUUGAUAGGUGGGGUGUGGAAGCGCGGUAACGCGUGAAGCUAACCCAUACUAAUUGCCCGUGAGGCUUGACUCUAU